UUUUAGGUUAAAUAAACUCGUAAAGUGAGGAUUAUAAGGGGAGGGUGAAAAUAGAGGAAUUGAGAAAAGAGGCAGAUCUAUGAGAAUUUAGAGAGCUAAGAAAAGUAUAAAAAAAAAUACAAAACUAAUCAAUCUUCUAACCUCAAGGUAAUGAGGGGGACUCUUUACUUAUGGGUAUUUAAGCAGUUGGAUAGUGAUGGAUCAUUAUCCUCCUAACUUUUUCCUCUUCCAUGUUGUGAUUGUUG
rnacentral:lncRNA from 1 species